rnacentral:rRNA from 1 species
UACGGAAGGCAGCAGUGGGGAAUAUUGCACAAUGGGCGCAAGCCUGAUGCAGCCAUGCCGCGUGUAUGAAGAAGGCCUUCGGGUUGUAAAGUACUUUCAGUCGUGAGGAAGGUGUUAAGGUUAAUAACCUUAGCAAUUGACGUUAGCGACAGAAGAAGCACCGGCUAACUCCGUGCCAGCAGCCGCGGUAAUACGGAGGGUGCGAGCGUUAAUCGGAAUUACUGGGCGUAAAGGGCACGCAGGCGGUUAAUUAAGUUGGAUGUGAAAUCCCCGGGCUUAACCUGGGAAUGGCAUUCAAGCUGGUUAGCUAGAGUCUUGUAGAGGGGGUAGAAUUCCAUGUGUAGCGGUGAAAUGCGUAGAGAUGUGGAGGAUACCGGUGGCGAAGGCGGCCCCUGGACAAAGGACUGACGCUCAUGUGCGAAAGCGUGGGGAGCAAACAGGGAUUUAGAUACC